rnacentral:misc_RNA from 1 species
GGAGGGAUCAUUAGAAUUCAGCUUUGCUUUUCAAUUAGCAAGCGUGGUUUAUACCAUGAACAACUUAUCUUAUUUUAAACGUACAUUGCCAACAAAACUCCAUGUUUUUCAACCAAUGACACUCAACUAACAAACUUAAAAAACACAAAAAAACGACUCGCAACAACGGAUAUCUUGGUUCUCGCAACGAUGAAGAACGCAGCGAAAUGCGAUACGUAAUGCGAAUUGCAGAAUCCAGUGAAUCAUCAAAUGUUUGAACGCACAUGGCGCCCCUCCGCGUAGGAGAGGCACGUCUUCAUGAGCGGCGUUUUCACCCUUCCCCGAGCUCGCUUCAUUAGCGGGACUUUCAGGGAGAAAUGCGGGUGCUCCCUCGGGAGCCUCCGUGAAAUCCAGAGGGCCCUUUUCUCGGCUCGUCGACUUGUUUAUUUAUUCAUAUCGACGCACCGCGUCCGGAUCCGGGACAGCUCUCGCUGCUCGCGACUCCAACGGAUACUGCCUCCUCGCGGGGCUUUCUGUUGGGCACAAGGUCGUCUUGCCAGCGCGUCGUCCAUCGCAGACCCCGGCCGCCAGCCCAGAGAGAAAUCCCACCGACAACCCCCCGUUUCCCUUUGAAGAAGCAAUUCUUCUGGGGGAAACCCCCUUUUAAAGCCCUCAUGUAAAACGAGAGAACCCGCUGAACUUAAGCAUAUUAUUAGCGGAGGAAAAGAAACUAACAAGGAUUCCCUCAGUAACGGCGAGUGAAGCGGGAAGAGCUCAAGUCGAAAAUCCUUGCUCCACGCGGGGCAAGGAGUUGUGGCCUCGAGACCCUUUGUCAUGGCGCGGGCAACCGCAUCUCCAGAGAUAAGUCCCUUGGAACAGGGCAUCAGAGAGGGUGAGAAUCCCGUUCAUUCUCUGGAGGGAGACCAGUACGACAAGGGUUCCCAGAGUCGCGUUGCUUGGGAGUGCAGCGCAAAGUGGGUCGUACACGUGAUCCAAAGCUAAAUACUGGCGAGAGACCGAUAGUGAACAAGUACCGUGAGGGAAAGAUGAAAAGCACUUGGAAACGAGAGUGAAAAAGAGCUUGAAAUUGUUGCGAGGUAAGCACUGGUGAAGGUUUAUUUGCGACGCUUGCGCUUUGGAGGGAGCUCUGGGCCGCGACGGAGGGACCGAGUCUCGUAAAGGGGCCGGUCUGCUGGCGCGAGUCUGGGGUUCUAGAGAUCGCACAGGCGGAGCCGUCUGCAUUGUUUUGGCUUUUCAAAGGUCCGAGUAGGUGGGGGCGCAGGUAGCGAGGCGGCGGCGACAAGCCGAAGCGCUCUCGAAGUCUAUAGCACCCUCAUUCGACGGACCGGCCGGAACAAUCGAUAGAAGGGCGUGGCGGAAACGGAAGGGGAGCGGGGCUCGCGGCGGGCGGCGGCUUGGAUGUUCAAUGAUCAGCCAGGUGCCGUCCCGUUGCUCACGCUUCGUCCCCAAGGCCGUGGCUGCCAUCGUCAACAAAUUCUUUCGCGGACGCAAGUGUUCUCGUCGGCUCGCCCGACGAGGAAACAAGCCCACCAAUGACCCGUCUUGAAACACGGACCAAGGAGUCCAACGUGUGUGCGAGUAUUUGCCUGGUUCAAGGGCGGAUGCGCAGUGAAAGCAAAGGACCGUCCUCGCGACAGUCUGAGGUGUGAAGGCGGGCCGCCCCAAAAGGGCGGUUCGUCCGCAACAUCGGCCGGCCCCGGUGUCUUUGGGGACUGAGCACGAGCACCCAUGUUGGGACCCGAAAGAUGGUGAUCUAUGCCUGAGCAGGGCGAAGCCAGGGGAAACUCUGGUGGAGGCUCGCAGCGAUACUGACGUGCAAAUCGUUCGUCGGAUUUGGGUAUAGGGGCGAAAGACUAAUCGAACCAUCUAGUAGCUGGUUCCCUC